rnacentral:rRNA from 1 species
CCUACGGGUGGCAGCAGUGAGGAAUAUUGGUCAAUGGGCGCGAGCCUGAACCAGCCAAGUCGCGUGAGGGAAGACGGUCCUAUGGAUUGUAAACCUCUUUUGUCGGGGAGCAAAAGACGCCACGCGUGGCGUUCCGAGAGUACCCGAAGAAAAAGCAUCGGCUAACUCCGUGCCAGCAGCCGCUGUAAUACGGAGGAUGCGAGGGUUAUCCGGAUUUAUUGGGUUUAAAGGGAGCGUAGACGGCUGCGCAAGUCUGAAGUGAAAUGCCGGGGCUUAACCCCGGAACUGCAUUGGAAACUGUGCAUCUAGAGUACAGGAGAGGUAAGUGGAAUUCGUGGUGUAGCGGUGAAAUGCGUAGAUAUUAGGAAGAACGCCGAUGGCGAAGGCGGCUUACUAGACUGUAACUGACGUUGAGGCUCGAAAGCGUGGGGAGCAAACAGGAUUAGAUACCCCUGUAGUC